UAAGUCCCGCAACGAGCGCAACCCUUAAGCUUAGUUGCCAUCAUUAAGUUGGGCACUCUAAGUUGACUGCCGGUGACAAACCGGAGGAAGGUGGGGAUGACGUCAAAUCAUCAUGCCCCUUAUGAUUUGGGCUACACACGUGCUACAAUGGACAAUACAAAGGGCAGCGAAACCGCGAGGUCAAGCAAAUCCCAUAAAGUUGUUCUCAGUUCGGAUUGUAGUCUGCAACUCGACUACAUGAAGCUGGAAUCGCUAGUAAUCGUAGAUCAGCAUGCUACGGUGAAUACGUUCCCGGGUCUUGUACACACCGCCCGUCACACCACGAGAGUUUGUAACACCCGAAGCCGGUGGAGUAACCUUUUAGGAGCUAGCCGUCGAAGGUGGGACAAAUGAUUGGGGUGAAGUCGUAACAAGGUAGCCGUAUCGGAAGGUGCGGCUGGAUCACCUCCUUUCUA
rnacentral:rRNA from 1 species